AUCUGCUGAUAUAGAAGAAAUACGUGCAAUGUUCUAAAUUUAAUUUUAUUACUCAUAUGACUUUACAUAAUAUCUAAAUUUAAAUAAAACCAUGAACUGACAAAUGAAAGUUAAUAAAUAGAAUUCAUUCAAGACAAGGAGCAGCACUUAUCGGGAAGACAUUUCUUAUUGUUUCAGUUCUAUGGGGAGCGAUAUUUGAAAAGGGAAAGGGUAGGACUAUCAAACCACACGUGGGCACUUUCAAUCAUUGUGGUUUGUUUUAAACGUAUAAAACUGGUCCUGAACUAUUUUGGACAUCAGUACAUAAACUUAAAACUCUGAAGUAAUUUAUUAUUAACUCAAAAUCGUCUCAAAGGUUUCGAGAACAUAAUAUGGACAAAAUUUUCACAGUGAUCUGCACACUUCAUUUGCUUCUAUUGCCUGUUCAAUCGAGAAGGCUUCAUCAUAAUCAUUCAAACAGAAACAUCAUGGCGUUUAGAGACGGGAGUUCAUAUGUGUCUUGUUGUUUUGUCGACAUUUUCUGCUAUGCCACGUGCUUCUCUGGCGGCGGCAGUCUCCGUGCGUUUGUUGCGGCUGAAGAAGGCGGUCUGUUUGACACGUCGGAAACCCGCCGCAGUCAUAGACACAGGCAUCACCAUGGCGCUUCAAGUUUCAGAACUAAAAGAAGUGUACCUGACAAUGUUCUGUGGAAGAAAUUGAGAAAUAAGUUUAUGCUGACCGAAACAAACGCUGAUGAGAACAUCGAACAUAACUUUGGUACAUAGUCUUCAAACUUCAUGUAAAACCAUCUCUACCUCAGAGACUUGCUGUCCUGUCAGUGUCGACUACCUUCCAAGUGAAACAAGCUAUACCCGGUCCAGCCAGACAAGGGAUACCGCAACUAUUCGAAAGGCGUACAGCUCUAUGUCCAAGAUGCUGCUGACACAGCUUGCGGAAUGAUCAUGUCAGAGCACAUUUUGUCUACUUAUUGUUUAUAAUUUCCUCGAGUCGAUAAAGAGCGACAGUUAUUCACUGCGCGGUAUCAGGCGUGAAGCUUCCUUCCAAACAUGGAGCUGCAAAACUGCAGUUAAAAUGUUAACAUUCACAUGACUUGCUAUAAAUGAUUCAAGUAAAUCGACAAAAUAGAUAUGUUUAUCGGCAUAUCCAAAUAUGCAGUGUAAUACAGAACACGUAAGAAGGCAAAUAUAAUCGUUCCACGCUAGAUUUAAUUUCCGAUGAAUGCAGAGAAUUUUGGGUUUUUAAAAACAACAGUGAACCACUCGAUUUGUCAGACUCUCGUCAUUUGCUUUAUUUUUAGUUUCAUGUAAGUGAAAAGUGAGUCUACAAUUAGGGGUAGCAAUUUCAAUGUGCGUUCCAAUCAAUAACAAUAUAUUACGAAGAAUAAAUGAAACUAUUAUGGUCCCGUUAGUACAACAAGUCAUCUCACUUUAACAAAGAGACAAACACAAAAUUGCAGUUGUAAACAGCAGAAAAAGUUGAAAUAUUAUUCAUAAUUCAUUUUAUAAAGCCCGUAGUGCUAGAUAAAAUUGUAAGGUAUGCUUAAUAAACUGUGCAUGCUUAUCAGCUUAUAUAUUUUACAAAAAGUAUUUUAUAAAAGGUUUUUAUGUGUUCCUUAAUGUGUUCAUGAACUUCUAGUCUCAUUGAUAAAAUGUUUAUCUUCAGAACGAAAGUUCCAUGUAAAACUAAAUGUGCAUUUUCAGCACGAAAGUUUCAUGUAAAACUGAAGUUUUAUUUUCAGCACGAAAGUUCCAUGUGAAGCUUAAUUUGUAUCUUCAGCACGGUUGUUCCAUGUAAGACUAAAUGUGUAUUUUAAGAACGAAAGUUUCUAUGUGAAACUAAAUGUGUAUUUUCAGUACAAAAGUUCCAUGUAAAACUAAAGUUGUAUCUUUGGCACGAAAGUUCCAUGUAAAACUAAAUUUGUGUCUUCAGCACAAAAGUUCCAUGUUAUACUGUUACAUUAAUUCAUUAUGAAAUAGCUUUGCAGAGAAUUCUUGAAUUUUCUUUUAAAUUGGUAUGAUGUUCAGUUAAAAUAUUUUAAUUGUAAAUAAGCUUGAGCCAAAUCAAGUAUGAAAAUACUUAUGUGUUCUUAUGUAGUUACUGAUUGUAGUUAGUAAUAACAUGUUUUUCUGUUUACAUCGUUUCACUAAGACUGUAAAUAUACUGCUGGUAUUAAUAAAACAUGUAAAAGCUG